rnacentral:lncRNA from 1 species
CCCCCCCAAAUUUCGAUAUUGGAAUCACUUUCCUUCUUCCUCGGGCCAGCCUUUGCUCUGUCCCCUCAGGUCAACUCAAGGUAGACAGUGUGGCGACUGGAGAGGUCGGGGAACAAGCUUUGUUUCAGCUAAGGGAAAAACAAGCGUUCACAGGAGUCCCCGGACACCUCCCACUCGGGAGAUAGUUAACGGGGGUCCUGCCAACCCUUCCCAUCCAACUUCCAUCUGAAAAGGAUUUUCUGCUAAAGUUGGGUCCAUGGCCAUCCAGCACCUAUAAGGCCGGCAGGAGCGUCUGCCCUCUACUCAGUUAAAGCCUGAAGUCGUUUCCUUUCGAUGGCGCUUAGGAGGCCCAAAAGAGGGGCGACAGAACAUGAUGUGACACGGGCCGGGCGCCCCCAGAAGCCCGGGAACAAACGUUUCUACUUUCCAGGUCCACUGGUGUUUGGUGUACCCAUGUGACUAAUUUGUCCAAAGAGAGAUUUCUGUGAAUAGACCAGAAGCCGACCUUUACAGUGUGUUUGGGUGCAGGUGAGGCUGAUUUGAGGCAAAUGUGCUUUACAGAUCUACAAUCUUGUACCUCACUCUGGCUGAAGCACCAGUCCCCAAGUGCAGACUUCUUGCCUGUUUCCCGUGUAACACUGUCCAACUCUGAAGGCUCCUACCCUGACCUUGGCCCUUGCUAUUUUCUUCAGUGGUUCUGAUGAUGGAAGAAUCAGAA